AGAUUGAACGCUGGCGGCAGGCCUAACACAUGCAAGUCGAGCGGCAGCACGGGUACUUGUACCUGGUGGCGAGCGGCGGACGGGUGAGUAAUGCCUAGGAAUCUGCCUGGUAGUGGGGGAUAACGGCUCGGAAACGGACGCUAAUACCGCAUACGUCCUACAGGAGAAAGCAGGGGACCUUCGGGCCUUGCGCUAUCAGAUGAGCCUAGGUCGGAUUAGCUAGUUGGUGAGGUAAUGGCUCACCAAGGCGACGAUCCGUAACUGGUCUGAGAGGAUGAUCAGUCACACUGGAACUGAGACACGGUCCAGACUCCUACGGGAGGCAGCAGUGGGAAUAUUGGACAAUGGGCGAAAGCCUGAUCCAGCCAUGCCGCGUGUGUGAAGAAGGUCUUCGGAUUGUAAAGCACUUUAAGUUGGAGAAGGCAGUUACCUAAUACGUAUCUGUUUGACGUUACGACAGAAUAAGCACCGGCUAACUCUGCG
rnacentral:rRNA from 1 species